GGAAGUUGUAGCAGUCAGAGGAGGAAGCAGGAAGUUCCCUGCCUCCCAGCAGACUGGCUACCUUUUUUCUCCCCUGGCUGGCUGGACACUGCAAUGCCUUUACAGAGAAAGAAAGAUUGAUUCUCAUUGGAAAAUGAAAGAUUACUCUUGAUGGCACUGAAAGCAGCCGUUGGCUCUAGAUGAUGAUGGAAUGAAAAGCAGGAAAGAAACGGCAGUAUUGCACGAACAGGUGGUUUGGCACAGGGAAGCAAGAGAUGGCUGCUGCUCACUUUGUGUGACUUGGAAAGGCUGUGAAUCGAUCUAGUCAGCUGGCAGCAGAAAAAGGAAUUUUGGGGGAACAAAGACAGAUGGCUUGCCUGCAGUGCCCUCUCCUGACCAUAGCCAAAGGGCAAGCAGAGCAAAGGACUAGUGAAGGAGCAACACCACAUCAUCCCACAGUAUGAUUCAAGGGAAGAGGCUGAUGGACCCACAAACCUUGCAAAUUACUCUACUGAUUCCAAGCACAACAUAGGGACAUAGUCUCCUAUAUUGUAUUGACUGGGAAGGAAUGGUUGGGCACUGUUUUGUUUUUUGUCCAUGGAGAUGAGUUCCUUACCAUGUCACUUUUGUUUGACUGUGCCCACAUGUGUGAGAGGAGAUGCACUGUAAACUAGAGUUUCUUCUUGUGCUAAUUCCCAGCCCUCACCAAAUGAGAAGAGGAUGCUUCCUCAUUUUCUCUAAAACUGAUAUUAUUUGUUAGUGAUAACAAAGAAUCCAAAUGGUGUAAGCGACAAACCAGUGAUUCUCAAACUUGGGUCCUCAGAUGUUACUGGAC